rfam:Halococcus saccharolyticus DSM 5350 contig_30, whole genome shotgun sequence.
GGGCGCUUAGCUCAGUUUGGACAGAGUGUUUGGCUUCGGACCAAAUUGUCGCGGGUUCAAAUCCUGCAGCGCCCA